rnacentral:rRNA from 1 species
GAUGAACGCUGGCGGCGUGCCUAACACAUGCAAGUCGAACGGAGAUUACGGACGGAAGUUUUCGGAUGGAAGCCUGUAAUUCUUAGUGGCGGACGGGUGAGUAACGCGUGGGCAACCUGCCCUAUACAGGGGGAUAGCAGCUGGAAACGGCUGGUAAGACCGCAUAAGUCGGUUAAAUCGCAUGAUUUGAUCGGGAAAUGAGCAAUCAGGUAUAGGAUGGGCCCGCGUCCGAUUAGCCAGUUGGCAGGGUAAAAGCCUACCAAAGCGACGAUCGGUAGCCGGACUGAGAGGUCGGACGGCCACAUUGGGACUGAGACACGGCCCAAACUCCUACGGGAGGCAGCAGUGGGGAUAUUGCACAAUGGAGGAAACUCUGAUGCAGCGACGCCGCGUGAGUGAAGAAGUAUUUCGGUAUGUAAAGCUCUAUCAGCAGGGAAGAUGAUGACGGUACCUGACGAAGAAGCCCCGGCUAACUACGUG